UACGGAAGGGGCAAGCGUUGUUCGGAAUCAUUGGGCGUAAAGGGCGUGUAGGUGGUUCUGUAUGUCUACCGUGAAAGCGUACGGCUCAACCGUAUUUAGUCGGUAGAAACUGCAGGACUUGAGGCUGGGAGGGGCUGGUGGAAUUCCCCGUGUAGCGGUGAAAUGCGUAGAGAGUGGGGGAGAACACUCGUGGCGAAGGCGGCCAGCUAGACCAGUUCUGACACUGAGGCGCGAUAGCGUGGGGAGCAAACAGG
rnacentral:rRNA from 1 species